CCUACGGGAGGCAGCAGUGGGGAAUAUUGCACAAUGGGCGCAAGCCUGAUGCAGCAACGCCGCGUGAGGGACGACGGCCUUCGGGUUGUAAACCUCUUUUAGUAGGGAAGAAGCGAAAGUGACGGUACCUGCAGAAAAAGCACCGGCUAACUACGUGCCAGCAGCCGCGGUAAUACGUAGGGUGCAAGCGUUGUCCGGAAUUAUUGGGCGUAAAGAGCUCGUAGGCGGUUUGUCGCGUCUGCUGUGAAAACCCGAGGCUCAACCUCGGGCCUGCAGUGGGUACGGGCAGACUAGAGUGCGGUAGGGGAGAUUGGAAUUCCUGGUGUAGCGGUGGAAUGCGCAGAUAUCAGGAGGAACACCGAUGGCGAAGGCAGAUCUCUGGGCCGUAACUGACGCUGAGGAGCGAAAGCAUGGGGAGCGAACAGGAUUAGAUACCCUGGUAGUCCAUGCCGUAAACGUUGGGAACUAGAUGUAGGGACCAUUCCACGGUUUCUGUGUCGCAGCUAACGCAUUAAGUUCCCCGCCUGGGGAGUACGGCCGCAAGGCUAAAACUCAAAGGAAUUGACGGCNGAGACGNGCGACGACGACGACGAGGGAGAGG
rnacentral:rRNA from 1 species